CUUGUAGUCCUCGGAUGACCUUGAACUGGAAACAGAUGAAUGUCGAGAAUAAUUUGUGGAAAUGUGGCUGAUAGAUGGCGUUCGCUUGCUGGCCCACCGACUAUUCAGUGAAGGAAGGGAGAAGUCUCGUCAGAGACUCCGAUCUGGUGUGUCACACGUGGGUCGCCUCGUCUCAGUCCGCCAUGAAAAGAAAAAGAUAACCGCGUAUCCACCUAAAUCCAGCCCGUCAUCGUCUCAUCGUCGUCUUCGUUUCAUCGUCUCAACGCCGUCUUCGUCUCUUCGUUUCAUUUUCCACCUCGUCUGGAAAAUGGCUUCUUUAAACCCAGCAAACAGUAUCUUGCCAGUUGCGUUUAUCUCACGCAAACCUUGGCAGUUGAAUAUAUAAACAGUGGACUUCCCUCUAAGACAGUACCGCAUUCCAGCGUUUACCAGCGAACGUAGCAGACAUGUCGCGCAGUCACUUUUUCUUGGUCGCUUUGUUCCUCGCUGUGCUAGUGGCGUAUUGCUCCGCCAUACCAGUUGAAGUCGGAAGAGUCUGCAGUUUCCGCCGUAGUCUCAACAGAUCCAACAGUUGAAAAUGCAAGACCUAAACGACAGUUUGUUGCUGGACUCUUGAUAGGAAAAGCUCUUGGAGCUGGAUACGGUUAUGGAUUAGGUCGUUCAGCUUACUAUGGCGGAUAUGGAUACUCCUAUCGUGGCUAGCGGCUACCCUGGUCCUUACGGCGAUUACGGAUACGGAGGCUACCAUUACUGAACGUUACUGCAUUCAACAUUUCCCACAGAACGACUGGAAUGAACGGACAGAAUAAAUUUGUUAUCAGCACCUCCAUAUAAGGAAAAUUUAACAUUUCUCCAAGACUUGCUAUUGUAAAACGUGCGGAAUAGACCUGAUGCAUGACGUCUGAAAAAACUAGGAUCCGCUCUUGGAGACCGUUUGUCACUUUUUUCACGGCCAUCCUGCGGUCAUCACUUCCACAUACGUAGGCGCCAUGUGUGAUACGACGUCCCAGGACCAAUGAGCUCCAUGAGCGUCACAACAACACCACAUCAAGCAUUGCAGCUGGCAAAAUGGCAUGAGAGGUGAUGCUUUCGCGUCUUAUUCCUUGUUGGGUUUCGACCCUCCUUCCAGCACAACGAUAUGAGUCGCCUGGUAUUCGUACUCAGGGAGGACACUCGCCUAAAGAGACAAUUUGGCGGCGCGCAUGGAUUGUUAAACGGGUUUUUGUAUGGAUACGGUUAUCCUGGAUACGAAUAUGGACGCUAUUCGUAUUACGGCUAUCAGUAACCUUACGUUGGACCAGCUUAUGGACCAUAAGAUUAUUAUGGUCAUCGUUGGAAUGAAUACAGAUUGUGAAAUUCUUAAAAGAAAAUUACUGCACACACGACGAGGAACUAUUUUUAUGAAAAAGAGGUAAAAGUGGAUUAAUUAUGCUUAGCUUGUUUUGGUGAUGGUUCAGAUUUAAAUGUUGAGCAUGGAUGUUGAUUAAUACUGUAAUAGAAUAAAUGAAAUUUGGAAGUA
rnacentral:lncRNA from 1 species